rnacentral:rRNA from 1 species
UACGUAGGGGGCAAGCGUUGUCCGGAUUUAUUGGGCGUAAAGCGCGCGUAGGCGGCCACGCAAGUCGGGUGUGAAAUCCCGGAGCUCAACUCCGGAACUGCACUCGAAACUGCGCGGCUUGAGGUAGGUAGGGGAGAUCGGAAUUCCUGGUGUAGCGGUGGAAUGCGCAGAUAUCAGGAGGAACACCGGUGGCGAAGGCGGAUCUCUGGGCCUUACCUGACGCUGAGACGCGAAAGCUAGGGGAGCGAACAGG